CAGUCGCCGCGGGAAUACGUAGGUGGCAAGCGUUGUCCGGAAUUAUUGGGCGUAAAGGGCUCGCAGGCGGUUUCUUAAGUCUGAUGUGAAAGCCCCAGGCUCAACCGGGGAGGGUCAUUGGAAACUGGGAAACUUGAGUGCAGAAGAGGAGAGUGGAAUUCCACGUGUAGCGGUGAAAUGCGUAGAGAUGUGGAGGAACACCAGUGGCGAAGGCGACUCUCUGGUCUGUAACUGACGCUGAGGAGCGAAAGCGUGGGGAGCGAACAGGAUUAGAUACCCCAGUAGUCCCUGUCUCUUAUAA
rnacentral:rRNA from 1 species